AGGGCAAUAGCUCAGUGGUAGAGCACACGCCUAGCAUGCACGAAGUCCCGGGUUCAAUCCCUAGUACCUCUA
rnacentral:tRNA from 1 species